AGUGAACGCUGGCGGUAGGCCUAACACAUGCAAGUCGAACGGCAGCACAGUAAGAGCUUGCUCUUACGGGUGGCGAGUGGCGGACGGGUGAGGAAUACAUCGGAAUCUACUUUUUCGUGGGGGAUAACGUAGGGAAACUUACGCUAAUACCGCAUACGACCUACGGGUGAAAGCAGGGGAUCUUCGGACCUUGCGCGAUUGAAUGAGCCGAUGUCGGAUUAGCUAGUUGGCGGGGUAAAGGCCCACCAAGGCGACGAUCCGUAGCUGGUCUGAGAGGAUGAGGGGCAAAAUGGGAACGGAGACACGGUCCAGACUCCUACGGGAGGCAGCAGUGGGGAAGAUGGGACAAUGGGCGAAAGCUUGAAGCAGCAAAGGCGCGGGAGAGAAGAAGGCCUGCGGAUUGUAAAGCCCUUUUGUUGGGAAAGAAAAGAGGCGGAUGUAAACGCGGCUUGCCGGAAGGUACCGAAAAAGAAAGCACCGGAGAACUCCGUG
rnacentral:rRNA from 1 species